rnacentral:rRNA from 1 species
UUUGAUCAUGGCUCAGAUUGAACGCUGGCGGCAUGCCUUACACAUGCAAGUCGAACGGCAGCGCGGGAGCAAUCCUGGCGGCGAGUGGCGAACGGGUGAGUAAUACAUCGGAACGUGCCCAAUCGUGGGGGAUAACGCAGCGAAAGCUGUGCUAAUACCGCAUACGAUCUACGGAUGAAAGCAGGGGAUCGCAAGACCUUGCGCGAAUGGAGCGGCCGAUGGCAGAUUAGGUAGUUGGUGAGGUAAAGGCUCACCAAGCCUUCGAUCUGUAGCUGGUCUGAGAGGACGACCAGCCACACUGGGACUGAGACACGGCCCAGACUCCUACGGGAGGCAGCAGUGGGGAAUUUUGGACAAUGGGCGAAAGCCUGAUCCAGCCAUGCCGCGUGCAGGAUGAAGGCCUUCGGGUUGUAAACUGCUUUUGUACGGAACGAAACGGCCUUUUCUAAUAAAGAGGGCUAAUGACGGUACCGUAAGAAUAAGCACCGGCUAACUACGUGCCAGCAGCCGCGGUAAUACGUAGGGUGCAAGCGUUAAUCGGAAUUACUGGGCGUAAAGCGUGCGCAGGCGGUUAUGUAAGACAGUUGUGAAAUCCUCGGGCUCAACCUGGGAACUGCAUCUGUGACUGCAUAGCUAGAGUACGGUAGAGGGGGAUGGAAUUCCGCGUGUAGCAGUGAAAUGCGUAGAUAUGCGGAGGAACACCGAUGGCGAAGGCAAUCCCCUGGACCUGUACUGACGCUCAUGCACGAAAGCGUGGGGAGCAAACAGGAUUAGAUACCCUGGUAGUCCACGCCCUAAACGAUGUCAACUGGUUGUUGGGUCUUCACUGACUCAGUAACGAAGCUAACGCGUGAAGUUGACCGCCUGGGGAGUACGGCCGCAAGGUCGAAACUCAAAGGAACUGACGGGGACCCGCACAAGCGGUGGAUGAUGUGGUUUAAUUCGAUGCAACGCGAAAAACCUUACCCACCUUUGACAUGUACGGAAUUCGCCAGAGAUGGCUUAGUGCUCGAAAGAGAACCGUAACACAGGUGCUGCAUGGCUGUCGUCAGCUCGUGUCGUGAGAUGUUGGGUUAAGUCCCGCAACGAGCGCAACCCUUGUCAUUAGUUGCUACAUUCAGUUGGGCACUCUAAUGAGACUGCCGGUGACAAACCGGAGGAAGGUGGGGAUGACGUCAAGUCCUCAUGGCCCUUAUAGGUGGGGCUACACACGUCAUACAAUGGCUGGUACAAAGGGUUGCCAACCCGCGAGGGGGAGCUAAUCCCAUAAAACCAGUCGUAGUCCGGAUCGCAGUCUGCAACUCGACUGCGUGAAGUCGGAAUCGCUAGUAAUCGUGGAUCAGAAUGUCACGGUGAAUACGUUCCCGGGUCUUGUACACACCGCCCGUCACACCAUGGGAGCGGGUUCUGCCAGAAGUAGUUAGCUUAACCGCAAGGAGGGCGAUUACCACGGCAGGGUUCGUGACUGGGGUGAAGUCGUAACAAGGUA